rnacentral:rRNA from 1 species
GAGCUUGCUCCCGGAUGUUAGCGGCGGACGGGUGAGUAACACGUGGGUAACCUGCCUGUAAGACUGGGAUAACUCCGGGAAACCGGAGCUAAUACCGGAUAGUUCCUUGAACCGCAUGGUUCAAGGAUGAAAGACGGUUUCGGCUGUCACUUACAGAUGGACCCGCGGCGCAUUAGCUAGUUGGUGGGGUAAUGGCUCACCAAGGCGACGAUGCGUAGCCGACCUGAGAGGGUGAUCGGCCACACUGGGACUGAGACACGGCCCAGACUCCUACGGGAGGCAGCAGUAGGGAAUCUUCCGCAAUGGACGAAAGUCUGACGGAGCAACGCCGCGUGAGUGAUGAAGGUUUUCGGAUCGUAAAGCUCUGUUGUUAGGGAAGAACAAGUGCGAGAGUAACCGCUCGCACCUUGACGGUACCUAACCAGAAAGCCACGGCUAACUACGUGCCAGCAGCCGCGGUAAUACGUAGGUGGCAAGCGUUGUCCGGAAUUAUUGGGCGUAAAGGGCUCGCAGGCGGUUUCUUAAGUCUGAUGUGAAAGCCCCCGGCUCAACCGGGGAGGGUCAUUGGAAACUGGGAAACUUGAGUGCAGAAGAGGAGAGUGGAAUUCCACGUGUAGCGGUGAAAUGCGUAGAGAUGUGGAGGAACACCAGUGGCGAAGGCGACUCUCUGGUCUGUAACUGACGCUGAGGAGCGAAAGCGUGGGGAGCGAACAGGAUUAGAUACCCUGGUAGUCCACGCCGUAAACGAUGAGUGCUAAGUGUUAGGGGGUUUCCGCCCCUUAGUGCUACAGCUAACGCAUUAAGCACUCCGCCUGGGGAGUACGGUCGCAAGACUGAAACUCAAAGGAAUUGACGGGGGCCCGCACAAGCGGUGGAGCAUGUGGUUUAAUUCGAAGCAACGCGAAGAACCUUACCAGGUCUUGACAUCCUCUGACAACCCUAGAGAUAGGGCUUUCCCUUCGGGGACAGAGUGACAGGUGGUGCAUGGUUGUCGUCAGCUCGUGUCGUGAGAUGUUGGGUUAAGUCCCGCAACGAGCGCAACCCUUGAUCUUAGUUGCCAGCAUUUAGUUGGGCACUCUAAGGUGACUGCCGGUGACAAACCGGAGGAAGGUGGGGAUGACGUCAAAUCAUCAUGCCCCUUAUGACCUGGGCUACACACGUGCUACAAUGGACAGAACAAAGGGCUGCGAGACCGCAAGGUUUAGCCAAUCCCAUAAAUCUGUU